AAAUGGAUGAAGGGGCCAGUUUCUCUGUAAGCCACGCAGAGAGUGGCCAAACCUUAACCUGGAAUCUGCAAUCUCUGUUAAUGAUCUGGAAAUCAAGCAAGACAUCACAGUGAACGUCAUUGUCAAAGAUCCAUUGGACUCAACAAACUAUUUAAUUACCUAUUUCUCAUC